rnacentral:rRNA from 1 species
UACGGAGGGGGCAAGCGUUGUUCGGAAUUACUGGGCGUAAAGGGCGCGCAGGCGGCUGCUCAAGUCAGGCGUGAAAGGCCUGGGCUCAACCCGGGAAUUGCGCUUGAGACUGGGCUGGCUUGAGUGCGGGAGAGGAUGGUGGAAUUCCCAGUGUAGAGGUGAAAUGCGUAGAGAUCGGGAGGAACAUCUGUGGCGAAGGCGGCCAUCUGGACCAGCACUGACACUGAGGCACGAAAGCGUGGGGAGCAAACAGG